GACGAACGCUGGCGGCGUGCUUAACACAUGCAAGUCGAACGGAAAGGCCCUGCUUUUGUGGGGUGCUCGAGUGGCGAACGGGUGAGUAACACGUGAGUAACCUGCCCUUGACUUUGGGAUAACUUCAGGAAACUGGGGCUAAUACCGGAUAGGAGCUCCUGCUGCAUGGUGGGGGUUGGAAAGUUUCGGCGGUUGGGGAUGGACUCGCGGCUUAUCAGCUUGUUGGUGGGGUAGUGGCUUACCAAGGCUUUGACGGGUAGCCGGCCUGAGAGGGUGACCGGCCACAUUGGGACUGAGAUACGGCCCAGACUCCUACGGGAGGCAGCAGUGGGGAAUAUUGCACAAUGGGCGGAAGCCUGAUGCAGCAACGCCGCGUGCGGGAUGACGGCCUUCGGGUUGUAAACCGCUUUCGCCUGUGACGAAGCGUGAGUGACGGUAAUGGGUAAAGAAGCACCGGCUAACUACGUGCCAGCAGCCGCGGUGAUACGUAGGGUGCGAGCGUUGUCCGGAUUUAUUGGGCGUAAAGGGCUCGUAGGUGGUUGAUCGCGUCGGAAGUGUAAUCUUGGGGCUUAACCCUGAGCGUGCUUUCGAUACGGGUUGACUUGAGGAAGGUAGGGGAGAAUGGAAUUCCUGGUGGAGCGGUGGAAUGCGCAGAUAUCAGGAGGAACACCAGUGGCGAAGGCGGUUCUCUGGGCCUUUCCUGACGCUGAGGAGCGAAAGCGUGGGGAGCGAACAGGCUUAGAUACCCUGGUAGUCCACGCUGUAAACGGUGGGUACUAGGUGUGGGGUCCAUUCCACGGGUUCCGUGCCGUAGCUAACGCUUUAAGUACCCCGCCUGGGGAGUACGGCCGCAAGGCUAAAACUCAAAGGAAUUGACGGGGCCCCGCACAAGCGGCGGAGCAUGCGGAUUAAUUCGAUGCAACGCGUAGAACCUUACCUGGGUUUGACAUGGAUCGGGAGUGCUCAGAGAUGGGUGUGCCUCUUUUGGGGUCGGUUCACAGGUGGUGCAUGCCUGUCGUCAGCUCGUGUCGUGAGAUGUUGGGUUAAGUCCCGCAACGAGCGCAACCCUUGUUCACUGUUGCCAGCACGUUAUGGUGGGGACUCAGUGGAGACCGCCGGGGUCAACUCGGAGGAAGGUGGGGAUGACGUCAAGUCCUCAUGCCCCUUAUGUCCAGGGCUUCACGCAUGCUACAAUGGCUGGUACAGAGAGUGGCGAGCCUGUGAGGGUGAGCGAAUCUCGGAAAGCCGGUCUCAGCUCGGAUUGGGGUCUGCAACUCGACCUCAUGAAGUCGGAGUCGCUAGUAAUCGCAGAUCAGCAACGCUGCGGUGAAUACGUUCCCGGG
rnacentral:rRNA from 1 species